ACCUUUGACCCGCUGCGCGCACCCGACGUUGAAAUCAGCGGUGCCGGCUGGGACGCGCCUGCCCGGAGAGGAGAGACCGAGAGAGAGGAGGAGGUGGAGGAGAAGGAGGAGGGAAGCUGCUGCAGAGGAAUCCGGGAGGAGAGAAGAGAGGACGGGGGAAGCUUUUAACUUCAUAACGGUUCAGUUUUAACGUUUUGUUUUGGGGUUUUUUUAAACGGAGGUUGACCGUUGGACCGUUGGAGCGCCAUAGUAACCGGAGCGGUACUCCUCCCUUUAAAGGAGCUCACACAGUGACAUUAUCUGUCGUCAGCUUUGGCUUUUAUAACUGUAUUGUUAUUGGAAUAACUACAGGUUUUAACAGUAGCAUAACGGCUGUGCAUACUUUAUAUUUAACGCUAGCUCUAAAGCGAGUUUCCCGUCCUGUCAGUCACUGAUGAGCCGCAUGCCUGCCUCUGAUCCCCGGGACCUGCGCUGGAUGUCUGUGUGGAGCUUGUAUAAGUUAGUUUAUGGAUUUCCUCCGGCUUCACAGUCAAUAAACCAACAGUAACAAUAUGUAUGCAGGACGGAAAAGAAGAAAACCGGCACAAAAGGGAGUCAAACCGACCCCACCCGAAGGCGCCAAGUCCAACCCAUCCAAGCGCCACCGCGACCGCCUGAACUCAGAGCUGGACCGGCUCGCCAGCCUGCUGCCCUUCUCCGAGGAUGUCAUCUCCAGUUUGGACAAGCUGUCCAUUUUGAGGCUCAGCGUCAGCUUCCUCCGCACUAAGAGCUUCUUCUCCGUGGCGCUGAAGAAGCAGCUGUCCAAUGACACGAGCAAGAGCAGCGACCACAGUGAUGGCCGCAAAACGCCAGGACCUGUGAACGGACACGUACCUGAGGGGGAACUGCUGCUGCAGGCCCUGAACGGCUUCAUCCUGGUGGUGACAGCCGAGGGAAUCGUCUUCUUCUGCUCUCACACCAUUCAGGAUUACCUCGGCUUCCAUCAGACUGACGUGAUGCACCAGAGUGUGUUUGAGCUGAUCCACACUGAAGACCAGCAGGAGUUCAGGAACAACCUGCAUUGGGCCCUCAACCCCCCUGCCGGCGCCGGACCACCGACAGAUUCCUCAACAGAUGGAGAGUCGACAUCUUCCUGCCUGGUGAGCUACAACCCGGACCAGCUCCCACCUGAAAACUCCUCUUUCCUGGAGAGAAGCUUCGUCUGCCGCUUCCGCUGUUUGUUGGACAACUCUUCCGGCUUCCUGGCCUUGAAUAUCCAGGGUCGACUCAAGUUCCUCCAUGGUCAGAGCCGCCAACAGUGCGACAGCGAGAAGAGUACCCCGCCUCAACUCGCCCUGUUUGCCAUCGCCACGCCCCUGCAGCCUCCAGCCAUCCUGGAAAUCAGGACCAGGAACAUGAUCUUCAGGACCAAACACAAGCUUGACUUCACGCCCAUGGCCUGCGACGCAAAAGGAAAAAUCGUUCUGGGCUACACCGAGGCGGAGCUGAGAGUUCGAGGUUCGGGUUACCAGUUCAUUCACGCCGCUGACAUGCUGUACUGUGCCGAAAAUCAUGUUCGAAUGAUAAAAACGGGCGAGAGCGGCCUCACCGUCUUCAGGCUGCUCACCAAGGAGAACCGGUGGAAGUGGGUCCAGGCCAACGCAAGACUUGUCUACAAGAACGGCAAGCCAGACUACAUCAUCGCCACCCAGAGGCCCUUGGUGGAUGAGGAAGGAGGGGAACACCUGAGGAAGCGGUCAAUGCACCUUCCCUUCACCUUUGCCACCGGAGAGGCAAUGCUCUACCAGACCGGUUAUCCACUGCACGGCUUCCCAGAUUCCUUCCCGGGCAAAGCCAAAGGCAGCAAGGCAUCCAAGAAGGGCAAACUGGACAAGAGCUCUUCAGAUGACCUGGAUCCAAAAUCCCUACUGGGAGCGUUGAUGAGCCAGGACGAGUCCGUUUACGUCUGCCAGCCAGACACAAAGCCUACAAUGCCGUACCACAGCAGCCUUUUUAGCGAGCAGCAAGGUGACGGCAGCUUUGGAGACCUGUUAAGUGGCGACUGUUGGCCUGUUGUAUCUAACGGGGAGACGUGGAGAUGCAACAGCAAAACAUCUAGUUAUGACCCCCUGCUGGCCACUCUGGACUCUCUGUCCCUGGACGGAGAGGAAACGUGCUCCAAUAGUGAGCUUUUCAGCGCUCUCGAGAACCUGGGUCUGAACGCUGAAGACCUGGAGCUCCUGCUGCUGGAUGAGAGGAUGAUGCAGGUGGAGCUGGACCCCAACCACAUCCCAACACUUAGCGACCUCCUCACUAACAACGAAAUCCUCUCCUACAUCCACGACUCACUGGAAAGUGGGACGGAGGGGGAGGAACACGGACCACCAAACCCAGACUCGGCUCAAAGCGUCACGCAGCAGCCAAUCCCUCCAGCUCUUCCCAGCAGCAGGCAGCCCAUCAUCCAGCUGUCGCAACAGAUGCAGCGACACAUCAGUGCAGGUGACGCAGGGCAAAUUCAGCCUGUCAACCAGUCUGGAACAGUGGACUCCAAGAUUUUAACUGGGAGCAAUCACUGGGUCACAACAGAGAACAACCAUCACCCCAACAACCACACCCAUCAUCACCCACAUACUGUACUCAAAGCCUCGCAGUUGAACGGUGAACAUAAACACCAGCAGUGGCAGCUCCAGCAGGACUCGGUCCACCUCCAGUCCCAUCAACAGGCGCUGCCUGGUUUCCACAAUCAGCUCGGACUCGCAACAAACGGAUCAUCAUACAUGCCAAACGGACAUGCAGCCUUUCCACCGAACGUGGAGGUCAACCACAGCGGUUACAGCACCAGCACAGCUCUGAACAAUGUGGCCACAUCAGAUGCUUGUCACUACCAGAGCUUGGUGCACCACCAGUGUCACCAGAAACAGCAGCAGCAGAUAAUGCAGCAGACUCAGGCUCCACCGUCUUGUUUGCCCAGCCAGAGCUCUGCACUGGAGUUGGAGCAGUUACUGGGUCUGUCCCAGCCACAGCACAGCCUGCCGUCUUUAGAGGCCUACAGCAUGUUCAACACCAGCACACAAGACUCCACUCACAGCAAGUUGGAGAACGGUUGCCUCCUCAGUGCCACUAACGCAGCGUACAUCAGGACGUGUCUGAUGCCCAAUGGAAAUGGAGUGGUGACAGGAAACAUCCCUGUCUCCUGCCCAGACGGACUGUCCGCCCUGCAGGACCCGCAGAAAUCUGGAUUCUUCCUCUGAGAAGGUGACGGCGGAGUAUGAGAGAAGGCGAGAAGAGAAGGUACAGGAGGAAAAUAAAGACAGAAAUGUGAACACACAUUUUUAUAUGACUAGAGGGAAGAAGAAGAAGAAAGAAAAGGACUUCAUAUCGGGUUCUGUUUGGAUCUCUCAUCUUUUAGACAAGGCAUGACAAGCAAACAAAGACAGAGUUUUUAUCUGUCACAAUACUCACCACUGUCUGACCUGUAUAUACACGUUAUAGUCCUGAAGAGAAGAAGACACUGUGACACUCAGCAAGGCCGGCUACUUCAUUAAAGUGUCUUUAUUUAUCAGUAUUUAUCGGUACUCCGAUAAGAACUUUUUAGCUGGAUCACUCCAAAGCGUUUAACUCAAGAUAAAGUCCGGUUAAAGCACCAAGUUAUUCAAAGUAACACUUCACGUCACUGCUGACUGUUUCCUCAAGCAAACUGUACGCUUGAAGAAUUUUCCUACUUUGCAAGCAGGUGUUACAUAAAAGAUGUGCAUUUAAAGUUAUUUACAUAUUAAAGUACUCUCAACCUAACCCAAGAGAAAAAUAUGGUUAGGAUCCACAAACAUUAAUAUACUGGGAUAAUUUAAUUUCAUCACCAGCACUUUCCUGGUAUGUGUUCAUACUCCUGUAGUUGUUGUUCUAUUCUCAGACACUGAAACCAACAGCUGUCUGCAAAAUAUGGAAUAUUCUAUCUUAAAGGAACAAAAGUAUGCCUUGAAAAAAGGGUCUGCAGUUAUGAUGAAAGAAACAUGACCUACCAGGAUAAAUGUUCUAAAAAUACUAGGUCAUGUCUGCUGCUUGUUCAGUAAGUUAAGUUUAUGCAAGCAGUCAUGAGAUAACACAUCAGUCUUCAUUUGAGGACCAGUAGAUGUUGUCUGUCCCGGUGCUUUACGCGUCAAUCAAACAGCAUUUCAUUCUUAUCGUUGUUACUGUUGAGAUGAGAUUCAAACAGCUGAAAUCAGAAAGCGUUCGUACUUGUUGCUGCCACCACAGAAAAACCCACGCUGCUUCUGUGGCUGCGACAUCCCGUCGUUGAUCCUGAUGCUGCAUUUUAGCCUAUUUGAGGUUUACAAUGACGUUGUGCACUUACAUGUAUAUAAAGACAUAAUCAGAAGGGACCUGAUUUGUCCGUCAAGUGGCACUGAAAUCAAACCUAAAAAAGCAUUUUUGUCUCCCGACCGGAGACGGUGUGGAAACGUCCCGUUAAUGCCUUGUCUCGGCGGCCUCGGCCAGUCAGACCCCCACUGACUUUCCCCUGCAGUCGUGUUGUGUGGGAAACACUGAGUGCUCUUACAUGCACACAGUAAUCCAUUAAGGACCUAACUGUAAAUAAUAGAUCACAACUGAAGGCCGAAGAAGAAGUGCAUAGCCUGACAUUCCCACCCACCUCAGCCAUCACCUGACCUGCUCACCUGUUCUCCCAGCUGUUCCCCAUUCCCCCAAUCGAGCCUUCAGACAGUGUAAAGAGUAGCCAGCCAGUCAUUGCAGGAAGGUUAGCUUCCUCGAGACACUGCGCCGUACAAGCCCCGCCGCCGCAGGCCACUGGCGAGGCCCGCCGGGAGAGCUCAAAACCUCCCGGAGACUGCAGGAGCGUCAGCUGCAAAGGAAGUCUUUGUUGUGCUGGUCAUUGAGAUAAUUCACCGCAUUACAAGCUGCUCCUGUGAACCACAAGAAAGACGACUUUGCUUCGGUGCUGCUCGCUGUAACAAAAGCCAGAAACAGGCUAAAAACUAAAAGCAUCGCUUCCAUUAACUACCACUCUCUUCCUGCUCUGUUUAUUUUUGUUAUUAUUUUUGUUAAGGAGCUGUAAUUUUAUCCCAAACCUCAAGAGCUUAUACGACUCAUAUUUCUUGGAC